GGAAGUAAAAGUCGUAACAAGGUCUCCGUAGGUGAACCUGCGGAGGGAUCAUUACAAGUGACCCCGGUUUACCACCGGGAUGUUCAUAACCCUUUGUUGUCCGACUCUGUUGCCUCCGGGGCGACCCUGCCUUCGGGCGGGGGCUCCGGGUGGACACUUCAAACUCUUGCGUAACUUUGCAGUCUGAGUAAACUUAAUUAAUAAAUUAAAACUUUUAACAACGGAUCUCUUGGUUCUGGCAUCGAUGAAGAACGCAGCGAAAUGCGAUAAGUAAUGUGAAUUGCAGAAUUCAGUGAAUCAUCGAAUCUUUGAACGCACAUUGCGCCCCCUGGUAUUCCGGGGGGCAUGCCUGUUCGAGCGUCAUUUCACCACUCAAGCCUCGCUUGGUAUUGGGCAACGCGGUCCGCCGCGUGCCUCAAAUCGACCGGCUGGGUCUUCUGUCCCCUAAGCGUUGUGGAAACUAUUCGCUAAAGGGUGCUCGGGAGGCUACGCCGUAAAACAACCCCAUUUCUAAGGUGACCU
rnacentral:rRNA from 1 species